ACGAACGCUGGCGGCGUGCUUAACCCAUGCCAGUCGAACGGAAAGGCCCUUCGGGGUACUCGAGUGGCGAACGGGUGAGUAACACGUGGGUGAUCUGCCCUGCACUUUGGGAUAAGCCUGGGAAACUGGGUCUAAUACCGGAUAGGACCACGGCAUUCAUGUGCUGUGGUGGAAAGCUGUUGCGGUGUGGGAUGGGCCCGCGGCCUAUCAGCUUGUUGGUGGGGUAAUGGCCUACCAAGGCGACGACGGGUAGCCGGCCUGAGAGGGUGACCGGCCACACUGGGACUGAGAUACGGCCCAGACUCCUACGGGAGGCAGCAGUGGGGAAUAUUGCACAAUGGGCGCAAGCCUGAUGCAGCGACGCCGCGUGAGGGAUGACGGCCUUCGGGUUGUAAACCUCUUUCGCCAGGGACGAAGCGCAAGUGACGGUACCUGGAGAAGAAGGACCGGCCAACUACGUG
rnacentral:rRNA from 1 species